rnacentral:sRNA from 1 species
GCCAGGUGCAGUGCCGUACCCUGUAAUCCCAGUGGCUCGGGAGGCUGAGGCAGGAGGAUCGUGAGUUCAAAGCCAGCCUCAGCAAAAGUGAGGCACUAAGCAACUCAGUGAGACCCUGUCUCUA